AUUGAACGCUGGCGGCAGGCUUAACACAUGCAAGUCGAGCGGGGAAAGUAGCUUGCUACUUAACUUAGCGGCGGACGGGUGAGUAAUACUUAGGAAUCUGCCUAUUAGUGGGGGACAACAUUUCGAAAGGAAUGCUAAUACCGCAUACGUCCUACGGGAGAAAGCAGGGGAUCACUUGUGACCUUGCGCUAAUAGAUGAG
rnacentral:rRNA from 1 species